rnacentral:rRNA from 1 species
UGGGGAAUAUUGCGCAAUGGGCGAAAGCCUGACGCAGCGACGCCGCGUGGGGGAUGAAGGCCUUCGGGUUGUAAACCCCUUUCAGCAGGGACGAAGCGAAAGUGACGGUACCUGCAGAAGAAGCGCCGGCUAACUACGUGCCAGCAGCCGCGGUAACACGUAGGGCGCAAGCGUUGUCCGGAAUUAUUGGGCGUAAAGAGCUCGUAGGCGGCCUGUUGCGUCCGCUGUGAAAGCCCGGGGCUUAACCCCGGGUCGGCAGUGGAUACGGGCAGGCUAGAGGUAGGUAGGGGAGAAUGGAAUUCCCGGUGUAGCGGUGAAAUGCGCAGAUAUCGGGAGGAACACCGGUGGCGAAGGCGGUUCUCUGGGCCUUACCUGACGCUGAGGAGCGAAAGCGUGGGGAGCGAACAGGAUUAGAUACCC